AAAUAUUAGCACUUCUCUUUUAGAAAAUAGAAAGUGGAUAUGGCCGUUGCGAGCUUCCGUUUAUGGCCUUCUCCUCCUCCUUCUUCUUGGCUUCUUGGUACGUCAAAGCCACCGCCUGAGCCUCGCUCUUCACACUGUUGUUGUUCCCCCAAACUCUCUCUCUCCUCCACUGAUAAAACCCUAAGAGAGAUUAAGAACUCCGGCAUUAUCGCUUGCCUUCGUGCCCAAAGUUCGGAGCUGGCAAUCGAAGCUGCACGUGCUGCACUAAGCGGUGGCAUUUCAGUUCUGGAGAUUGUGAUGUCCACCCCAGGUGUGUUUGAGGUUUUACAACAGCUGGUUCAGGACCAUCCUACAACAGUAUUAGGAGUUGGGACUGUUUUAAAUACCAAGGAUGCGAAUAAUGCCAUAAAUGCAGGAGCCAAAUUCCUUAUGAGUCCUGCAAUGGUGAAGGGCAUUGUGGAUGAUAUUCAAGGUGGUGAUAUUCUAUACAUACCUGGUGCAAUGACCCCAACAGAAAUACUAUCAGCAUAUAAUGCUGGUUCAAAAAUUGUCAAGGUUUAUCCCGUUUCUGCAUCAGGUGGCAUCCAGUAUAUAUCAGCACUCAACAAGCCAUUUUCUCAUAUCCCAAUGGUUGCUUCUCAAGGCAUACAAAUAGAUCUAAUAGAGGAAUAUAUUGCUCAUGGAGCUGCAGCUGUUGUUCUGUCAGAUGCUAUUUUUGAUAAAGAAGCAAUGGGUCAACGGAACUUCAAUGCAAUAUAUCACCUCGCCCACAUUGCAGCUAUGCAAGGCAGCGAAGCAGUAGAAAGGAAGAGAAGAUGCAAUCUUAACUAAUUGUUUUGUGAAUGAGCCUGUAAAGAUUAUAUUCUAAUUGCUAAAUGGAAUGAAGAAGUUAAGUGACGCCUUAUACAGACCGGAAAGUUUUAGAUCGAACUCUAAAUCAAAUUGAAGCUGAGCGAUAUUGACCUGCAAUUACACCAAAGCUUGAGUAUAUUACUUGGAUGAGAAGCAUGUGAAUAUAUGAAUGUUGUUGUACCAGUCUUCUGCCAUAGAUUGGAUGAAUGUACCUGAGGAAUCCUUAUUCCUGGGGAAUCUUUGUUUCAAUAUAUAUAUAUAUUCUCUUAAAUUAAUUUGGAACU